GGGUGAUUAGCUCAGUUGGGAGAGCACCUGCUUUGCAAGCAGGGGGUCAGCGGUUCGAACCCGCUAUCAUCCA
rnacentral:tRNA from 1 species